rnacentral:lncRNA from 1 species
UUUUCUUUUAGUGUCGUUUUUGUUCUAUUUUCCUUUCUUUCAGUUAAAAAGAACUCCAAAGUCUACAAUUUUGUAGAUCACGGUAAGAGAAAGAGAAAUUUCUAAUAUUUUUUCUAUUUACUUUUUCGAUAUUUUUAUCUAUCUAUCUAUCUAUCUAUCCGAGUAAUUAAUAUUAAUUGAAUUAAAAUAUUUUAAUUAAUAUUAAAUAAAAUAAUAGAAAUAAUAAGAGAAG